UACGAAGGGGGCUAGCGUUGCUCGGAAUUACUGGGCGUAAAGGGCGCGUAGGCGGCACUGUUAGUCAGGCGUGAAAGUCCUGGGCUCAACCUGGGAACUGCGCUUGAUACGGCAGAGCUAGAGGAUGGAAGAGGGUCGCGGAAUUCCCAGUGUAGAGGUGAAAUUCGUAGAUAUUGGGAAGAACACCGGUGGCGAAGGCGGCGACCUGGUCCGGUACUGACGCUGAGGCGCGAAAGCGUGGGGAGCAAACAGGAUUAGAU
rnacentral:rRNA from 1 species